rnacentral:lncRNA from 1 species
UCCACGACCUCCUUUCUUCUCGAGCUCGGAUUUUCGGGUCUCACCUUCUAUUCCAUUCUAGCAAAGCACGCUAACUCAAUUAAGAAAAAAUCACGUUCUUUAACCACCAACAAAAAAAAGGCAAAAAAGAGAUUUUCUUUUGAGUAGAGUUGGGUCUGAGUCAAAAGCUCAUCCAGUUUAGUAAACUGGGUAUCAUUCAGAUCAGGAGCUUCACCGGAUGCAGGCAGUGAAAAGUAAUAUAUCCAUUUACAUAGCAAAAUAAAUAGAAGAAACGCCGCGAAACUCUUAACAAUCUAGAACACGUGAAACCUGGAACAAACCUCUUCACUGAGAACGGAAGUCAGAUUGGCAGAAACAUCUUCCUCUGUUUCCCGUCGCUGGCCAUUACAGAAGCCAUAAGAAUCGAAAAUGAAAAUCGAAAAGAACUCCAGCCCCGAUGAAGGGUUCCAGUGUUUAACUUAAGGUAUAAAUCGAAAAUGAACCAUUAAUGAUGAACACAUCAAAGAUUGCAAGAUGAAGAGGUAGAGAAAGAUUCACUGCUCCAUGGAAACUGAAAGGGUUACUUUCCAAUUCUCAGAGGAGACUGAAGCAAUUG